UCCGCCUUAGCUCAGUUGGUAGAGCACAUGACUGUUAAUCAUUAGGUCGCUGGUUCGAGCCCAGCAGGCGGAG
rnacentral:tRNA from 1 species